rnacentral:rRNA from 1 species
UACGAAGGGGGCUAGCGUUGCUCGGAAUCACUGGGCGUAAAGCGCACGUAGACGGCUUCUUAAGUCAGGGGUGAAAUCCUGGAGCUCAACUCCAGAACUGCCUUUGAUACUGGGAGGCUCGAGUCCGGGAGAGGUGAGUGGAACUGCGAGUGUAGAGGUGAAAAUUCGUAGAUAUUCGCAAGAACACCAGUGGCGAAGGCGGCUCACUGGCCCGGUACUGACGCUGAGGAGCGAAAGCGUGGGGAGCGAACAGG